GGGAAUGUGGCUUAGUGGUACAGCGCUUGCCUAACAUGCAUGAAGCCCUGGGUUUCAUUCCUC
rnacentral:tRNA from 1 species